UCUGUAUGAAGCCACGUGUAACUUGUCCCCCUCCUUUCCAUCAUGAGAACUACUGAAGAUGUAAACCAAAUCCAGCAGGGAAACCAGUGACAUUUGUGAAUAGUAGACGGGAUAAAAGGAGCUGGACACACUCUUUCUUCAACAUCUGCCAUGAUAUGAUUUCACAAGCAAGAAAUGUGCCAAGGCUUCUACCCAAGAAUAUAACGUACAUGGACACGUCAUGGGGGCUCCCCUGCCCUCAAGCUCCCAUGGGGGUUCAGCCAAUGAAGACAAGAAGAAAGAGAGAUUGAGGUCAUCCAGUGAUACUGAUGAAAUAUUCCACCGGAGGGAGAAUCAUGAAAUAUUCCACCGGAGGGAGAAUCAAAUCCCUGUCUAGCCUCCUUGCCCGCAGGAAGUUGACAGAAGAGGGAUUGACCUGAAGGAUCAAGGGGUAUGCAGUCCAAGUGGGAAUGUAACAUGCAUGAGGUGGAGGGACUGAACCUCAAUCAGAUGGAGUGAAUGCUUCAGGUCACACAGCGAAAGAGUCCUGGAUGAAAACCCAGUGCUACCAGAAGGCAGUCUCUUCUCUCCACCACACUGUACCUCCCACAGCCCUCUUUUAGAGCAAGGCCAUUUCAGGGAAGCCUUGCCAUACCCGAUCUCCACAGGCAGCUCUCACCAACUGUGCUUCAAGUGCAUGGUCAUUCCAGAGCCUGGACGGAACGGGCACUCCUGGUGCUAUGGCCUCACUGCCUACAAAGCUAAGUGCACAGGUAGGGGGACAGGGUGCUUCCUUUGCUCCUGUGGUGAUCUGGAGACACAGAUCAACCCAGUGUGAAUGGAACCAGGCAGAGCUGCCCACCAAAAUAAAAGUGUGGCCAAAACCCAGCCCUGCUUGUGGGUGAACAAAAAACAUGCCCUCCAGCCACAACUGCAUUCACAGAGC
rnacentral:lncRNA from 1 species